GAGAGAGACUCUCAAUGAAUUGAACAGAUGAGUCCUAUCUAAGAAAAGCAAAUCCCCCAAAAUUAACGAAGAUGAAAAAGUUCUCAAGGAUGGGCACCCACCAUUCACAGCAGUCUCGAACAUUCUGGAAAUGGCCGAUAGAUCCCUGGUACCUUAUUUAACAUAAGCUUUAUUUAUUUUUUAAACCUAGCUUGUAUUUUUCACAGUGCAACUUAAAUAGAUACACAUAACUUAUGCCUUUAAGGAACUCAAAUAGAAAACCCAAACAAACUAAACCUAUACAAACCAAUAAAAGAAUUUUAAUCAUCUAAGUUUAAAGUCGACGGCUGAGGGUCGCGCCCAUGUCAUGCAGGGUGUUAAUAUAUGUUGACGAUCACUUUGGUGUGUGUGUAUGUGUGUAUGUGUAAGAGUGACGUCAAACUCGUAAAGUGGGAAUCAGUGAUGUCUGAGUUGACCAUAGAACCUACAACAGAAUAUUCUAGAUUGUGCAGGCUACUGCCUCACAGUGGAUGACGUGGCCGACUCACAACUGUUAUUUGUCUGAACUCCCAGGAGACCUCCCUUAAAUCGAGCCUGAGUCUUUGAACAAUAGCAGAGCACUUUACCCAGACCCACAGAGUGGACAGCCAUUUGCUGAGCUCCAGGCUGUCCACGGGGGUCUGCCUGCUGGGAAAAGCAAGUUCCUGGGAGUCAGUUGGAGGUCAGGCUCCCUGCUUCACCCUCACCGAAUCAGGUCUCCUUGCUUGGACGGAUGACACAUGAGGUGGGAGUGUAUUUUUUUCCGUCAGUGAGAAUUUUUUUCUGAAGAAAAAUGCAUAAUAAAUUAUACGUUUGAUAAGAAUGCUGGCAAGCUCUCUUUUCACGUGUCAAGCUUCUUCGGCCGACAGUCCUUGUGAAGUCAGAGACCAGGAGGUUAACCCCCUUCCUCCUCGCCAGACUUGAAGAGGUGUUUCUGCUCCACACCUGUGAGAGUCUUGCUGGGCCCAAAGGAGGGUGUGACUCUGUUAAACUGUUCGUGAAGUUCCAGGAGUGGCUGAUGCGCCUGGAUUGUGACUGAGGGGCCAGUGGCACCUUCCAUCCGACACGAAUUCCAAGAAUUUCCACUGCUGGCACCCAGGCUGGGAGGAGCAGCUGCAUCUGCCGCCAGGAAUGUGGGGCCUAGAGACACCAAGCCCAGGAAUGCCUCCCUGGGGCCCGAAGCUUCCGUUCCAGAAAAUCCUGAGGACUCCUUGCUCUCUGUUUCCUUCCUUCUCCCUGAGUGUGAAGCCAGCCCAAGCCGCCCUUGAAAUUUUCUGGAGGGGAAAUCCUAGAGAGUUAGGUUUAAAACAGAGCUCAGCAGCCAUGGGGAUUCUACCAACAGGCGCCAUCCUCAGCGGGGUGGGCUUCUGUGGGUCACCUGCCCUCUGUGAUCCUCACAGAGUGACAGCCCCAGCUCCUCGAGCUGUCGACUCAUUUUCCCAGGUGAUGAGGUAAGUUCAGAAACCACAUCACCCUCUGGGACACUCAACCAUAGUAGAGGCUCUGACAAGCUCUGCAAUAAAAAACACUCACUUUUUUAGGCAGGGGUUCACCAAACUUAUUUGGCCAAAAAACUUUCUUUUAGAAGUAACUCUUAACAUAAUUUCAGUGAAUCGGUUUUCUAUGGAACACGUAUUGUAAAUGUUGGUCUGGGCAUUAUCUCUGAGGACCCCUCAGCUUUCAGAGCGUCCCUCUUUAAACCUCAGGUGGCUUAGUUUAUCAAAACCUCUCCUGAGGGCAGGUGAGGGAAGAGGGAGGAGAGAGAAGCUCUGAGCUCGGAGGGAGGGG
ensembl:lncRNA